rnacentral:rRNA from 1 species
UGUAAGCGUAUACCAAAGUUGUUGCAGUUAAAACGCUCGUAGUCGGAAUUUGGCAGUUCCGGAUGUGUGCACGUCGUGUGCGCACUUCGCGGGGAUUGCUUUUGUGGUCUUGCGUAGGAUGAGGCACUUUUAUUAGUGAACGUCCUCACGCAACCACUUUUUACUGUGAGAAAUUCAGAGUGCUCAAAGCAGGCAUUUGCCGUGAAUGUAUUAGCAUGGAAUAAUAGAAUAGGACUUGGUUCUAUUUUGUUGGUUUGUUGGGACUGAGUAAUGAUUAAGAGGGACAGUUGGGGGCAUUUGUAUUUCGGUGCUAGAGGUGAAAUUCUUAGAUUACCGAAAGACAAACUGCUGCGAAAGCGUCUGCCAAGGAUGUUUUCAUUGA